rnacentral:rRNA from 1 species
UACGGAGGGUGCAAGCGUUAUCCGGAUUCACUGGGUUUAAAGGGCGCGUAGGUGGAGUGGUAAGUCAGUGGUGAAAUCUCCAAGCUUAACUUGGAAACUGCCGUUGAUACUAUCAUUCUUGAAUAUCGUGGAGGUAAGCGGAAUAUGUCAUGUAGCGGUGAAAUGCUUAGAUAUGACAUAGAACACCGAUUGCGAAGGCAGCUUGCUACACGAUCAUUGACACUGAGGCACGAAAGCGUGGGGAUCAAACAGG